UGGGGAAUUUUGGACAAUGGGCGAAAGCCUGAUCCAGCAAUGCCGCGUGUGUGAAGAAGGCCUUCGGGUUGUAAAGCACUUUUGUCCGGAAAGAAAUCCUUGGCUCUAAUACAGUCGGGGGAUGACGGUACCGGAAGAAUAAGCACCGGCUAACUACGUGCCAGCAGCCGCGGUAAUACGUAGGGUGCAAGCGUUAAUCGGAAUUACUGGGCGUAAAGCAUGCGCAGGCGGUUUGCUAAGACCGAUGUGAAAUCCCCGGGCUCAACCUGGGAACUGCAUUGGUGACUGGCAGGCUAGAGUAUGGCAGAGGGGGGUAGAAUUCCACGUGUAGCAGUGAAAUGCGUAGAGAUGUGGAGGAAUACCGAUGGCGAAGGCAGCCCCCUGGGCCAAUACUGACGCUCAUGCACGAAAGCGUGGGGGAGCAAAACAGGAUUAGAUACCCUGGUAGUCCACGCCCUAAAACGAUGUCAACUAGUUGUUGGGGAUUCAUUUCCUUAGUAACGUAGCUAACGCGUGAAGUUGACCGCCUGGGGAGUACGGUCGCAA
rnacentral:rRNA from 1 species